UACGAAGGGGGCUAGCGUUGUUCGGAAUCACUGGGCUUAAAGCGUGUGUAGGUGGAUCGUUAAGUACCUUGUGAAAUCCCACGGCUUAACCGUGGAACUGCUUGGUAUACUGGCGGUCUUGAGCCACUUAGGGGCUACCGGAACAAAUGGUGGAGCGGUGAAAUGCGUAGAUAUCAUUUGGAACGCCAAUGGUGAAAACAGGUAGCUGGGAGUGUGCUGACACUGAGACACGAAAGCCAGGGGAGCAAACGGG
rnacentral:rRNA from 1 species